rnacentral:rRNA from 1 species
GACGAAACUCUGACGUAACACGCCGCGUGAGUGAAGAACGUUUCGUAUCGUAAAACUCUGUUGUUAGGGAAGAACAAGUGCCGUUCGAAUAGGGCGGCGCCUUGACGGUACCUAACCAGAAAGCCACGGCUAACUACGUGCCAGCAGCCGCGGUAAUACGUAGGUGGCAAGCGUUGUCCGGAAUUAUUGGGCGUAAAGCGCGCGCAGGUGGUUUCUUAAGUCUGAUGUGAAAGCCCACGGCUCAACCGUGGAGGGUCAUUGGAAACUGGGGAACUUGAGUGCAGAAGAGGAAAGUGGAAUUCCAAGUGUAGCGGUGAAAUGCGUAGAUAUUUGGAGGAACACCAGUGGCGAAGGCGACUCUCUGGUCUGUAACUGACGCUGAGGCGCGAAAGCGUGGGGAGCGAACAGGAUUAGAUACCCUGGUAGUCCAUGCCGUAAACGAUGAGUGCUACGUGUCAGAGGGUUACCGCCCUUUAGUGCUGCAGCAAACGCAUUAAGCACUCCGCCUGGGGAGUACGGUCG